UUUACACACAACACAAAUUUUUAUCUAGCUAAAUUAAAGUUUAUAGUACACUUUUUUUUUGUUUAACACAAUAUUAAUAUGGUUCAGUUUUUGUAUUGAACUUAUUUAAUCUUGAUAUUAUUUACAUUAAUAUGCUAAUCGACAAAUAACUUUUAAGUUAUAUAAAAAUAUAAUUAUACUUUCAAGAAACGCUUUUUUAUGACACAAAAUUCUUUAUCACUUCAAAGAUUAAUACACUGAAACACUGAUGUGAGUGAUGUGCGUCUUAACGAAGAACACUGUGAACAAGAUCCGACAUGUUCCUUCGUGACGUCACACGCUGUUGCUUAUAUUUCGUUCCUUAUUAUGUUGUAUUUAUAUUAAUAUUUUCGUUAAGUUUUAUUUAUUGUAUAUAAUUCAAUGCAAGAUUAUAUUAUGUUAUAUUCGUUAUUAUAUUCAUGUUAUUUAAUAGAAAUUAAAGGCAGUUUUUUAUAUAUAAUAUACUCAAUUGACUGGUGCUGAAGUGACCUAUGAAU
rnacentral:misc_RNA from 1 species